UUUUCUUCAAGGGCUUAUACAGGUCCUUCUGGUACAAGUAAUCCUCCAUUUGCAUUUUCCAAAAAAUUCAAAAUUCACACCGUUGAAUUUAUCAAUUUUGGAAAUUUUAUCGUCUGUCGACAUUGCUCCCACUCGAUCUGGACUCCUUGGAUCGUUUCUGAUUUUUCAGCUAACCACCGUGUUUAGAACACCUUUUGUCGACAAAUCGGAACCGUCGACAAAUUUCACUAUUCACGGAAUUCACUAUUCACGUGAAUAGUAACAGCGAAAAACAUCAGAAAAUAUCUGCCACCACCGUGGCUCUGAUACCAGUUGUUGGGAAUUAUAGACGCCAUAAUUCCGCCCAGGAUUGUUGUUGGGGAAUUAGACACAACUAAUUCAGCCCGGGAUCAAGUGUGACUCAAUAUUGUGGAUAUCGACCGAUAUGAAACGAGAAGAAAAAUGACACCGAUAUUUUUAACGUGGUUCGGCCAAACUGCCUACGUCCACGGACCCACACCAAUAUAUUAGAGAAUCUCAAAAGGAGGAGUACAAUAAAAUACCACUCUGUAUUUUAUCUGCCUAAACCAAGACUAUAUCUCAACUCAC
rnacentral:lncRNA from 1 species